CUUCCGGGAGGAAGCGUAGUCCUCCGGCCCGGGCUAGGGGGUGGGCUUACGACCCUCACUGCCAGGCUUCUGCAACUUUCCACCUUCUAAGCUAUUUCUGGACCGGACGGUGGCGAGUGCUUCGUGUUUACCCUCAUGUACGAAGCCUGUGCUAGAAACAAGGGCGCAAAGAUAAAAAACCCGGAGACGCCCCCCCUUCUCUUUUCACAUUACAUUUGGAAGAGAAUAGUAGCUCUGGAGCCCCUGGAGCGGGGACACCGGGUAGCCCAAACCCAGCCAGACCUGCCUUCCAGGUAGAAGUCGAAUGAAUAAAAUUCGUGUGUCAUGGU